rnacentral:piRNA from 1 species
UUCAACAAAGUAUGAGCUGGUAAGUAU